rnacentral:rRNA from 1 species
GAUCAUGACUCAGGAUGAACGCUAGCUACAGGCUUAACACAUGCAAGUCGAGGGGCAGCAUGUUGGUUGCUUGCAACCAAUGAUGGCGACCGGCGCACGGGUGAGUAACGCGUAUCCAACCUUCCGCAUACUCGGGAAUAGCCUUUCGAAAGAAAGAUUAAUGCACGAUGGUUUCCCGAAUCCGCAUGAGAACGGGAAUAAAGAUUCAUCGGUAUGCGAUGGGGAUGCGU